rnacentral:rRNA from 1 species
CCCUUUGGGGUGUGACUGCGUACCUUUUGUAUAAUGGGUCAGCGACUUAUAUUCUGUAGCAAGGUUAACCGUAUAGGGGAGCCGUAGGGAAACCGAGUCUUAACCGGGCGUUAAGUUGCAGGGUAUAGACCCGAAACCCGGUGAUCUAGCCAUGGGCAGGUUGAAGGUUGGGUAACACUAACUGGAGGACCGAACCGACUAAUGUUGAAAAAUUAGCGGAUGACCUGUGGCUGGGGGUGAAAGGCCAAUCAAACCGGGAGAUAGCUGGUUCUCCCCGAAAGCUAUUUAGGUAGCGCCUCGUGAAUUCAUCUCCGGGGGUAGAGCACUGUUUCGGCUAGGGGGCCAUCCCGGCUUACCAACCCGAUGCAAACUGCGAAUACCGGAGAAUGUUAUCACGGGAGACACACGGCGGGUGCUAACGUCCGUCGUGAAGAGGGAAACAACCCAGACCGCCAGCUAAGGUCCCAAAGUCAUGGUUAAGUGGGAAACGAUGUGGGAAGGCCCAGACAGCCAGGAUGUUGGCUUAGAAGCAGCCAUCAUUUAAAGAAAGCGUAAUAGCUCACUGGUCGAGUCGGCCUGCGCGGAAGAUGUAACGGGGCUAAACCAUGCACCGAAGCUGCGGCAGCGACACUGUGUGUUGUUGGGUAGGGGAGCGUUCUGUAAGCCUGUGAAGGUGU